GCCUGGGUGGCUCAGUCGGUUAAGCGCCUGACUUCGGCUCGGGUCGUGAUCUCAGGGUUUGUGAGUUCAAGCCCCACGUCAGGCU
rnacentral:tRNA from 1 species